GACGAACGCUGGCGGCGUGCUUAACACAUGCAAGUCGAACGGAAAGGCCCUGCUUUUGCGGGGUGCUCGAGUGCCGAACGGGUGAGUAACACGUGAGUAACCUGCCCUUGACAUUGGGCUAACUUCAGGAGACUGGGGCUCAUACCGGAUAGGAGAUCCUGCUGCAUGGUGGGGGAUGGAAAGUUUCGGCGGUUGGGGAUGGACUGGCGGGUUAUGAGCUUGUUGGUGGGGUAGUGGCUUACCAGGGCUUUGACGGGUAGCCGGCCUGUGAGGGGGACCGGCCACAAUAGGACUGAGAUACGGCCCAGAAUCCUACGGGAGGCAGCAGUGGGGAGUAUUGCAGAAUGGGCGGAAGCCAGAUGCAGCGACGCCGCGUGCGGGAUGACGGCCUUCGGGUGGUAAACCGCUUUCGCCUGAGACGAAGAGUGAGUGACGGUAAUUGGUAAAGAAGCCCCGGCUAACUACGUG
rnacentral:rRNA from 1 species